UACGAAGGGGACUAGCGUUGUUCGGAAUUACUGGGCGUAAAGCGCGCGUAGGCGGAUCGCUAAGUCAGGGGUGAAAUCCCAGGGCUCAACCCUGGAACUGCCUUUGAUACUGACGAUCUGGAGAUCGGGAGAGGUUGGUGGAAUUCCGAGUGUAGAGGUGAAAUUCGUAGAUAUUAGCUAGAACACCAGUGGCGAAGGCGGCCAACUGGUCCGGUACUGACGCUGAGGAGCGAAAGCGUGGGGAGCGAACAGG
rnacentral:rRNA from 1 species